GCUUAACACAUGCAAGUCGAGCGGUAAGGCCCUUCGGGGUACACGAGCGGCGAACGGGUGAGUAACACGUGGGUGAUCUGCCUCGCACUCUGGGAUAAGCCUGGGAAACUGGGUCUAAUACCGGAUAUGACCACGAAUCGCAUGGUUUGUGGUGGAAAGGUUUACUGGUGCGAGAUGGGCCCGCGGCCUAUCAGCUUGUUGGUGGGGUAACGGCCUACCAAGGCGACGACGGGUAGCCGGCCUGAGAGGGCGACCGGCCACACUGGGACUGAGACACGGCCCAGACUCCUACGGGAGGCAGCAGUGGGGAAUAUUGCACAAUGGGCGAAAGCCUGAUGCAGCGACGCCGCGUGAGGGAUGACGGCCUUCGGGUUGUAAACCUCUUUCGACAGGGACGAAGCGCAAGUGACGGUACCUGUAGAAGAAGCACCGGCCAACUACGUGCCAGCAGCCGCGGUAAUACGUAGGGUGCGAGCGUUGUCCGGAAUUACUGGGCGUAAAGAGCUUGUAGGCGGUCUGUCGCGUCGAUCGUGAAAACGUGCAGCUCAACUGCGCGCCUGCGGUCGAUACGGGCAGACUAGAGUACUUCAGGGGAGACUGGAAUUC
rnacentral:rRNA from 1 species